rnacentral:lncRNA from 1 species
GAGCUCUUUGGAACUGCAUGCGAGGAAUAUUUCAUCCUGAAGAAAAAAUUAUGAAUAUCCAAAAUACUGCCACCAUAAAUCUUCCAAACAAGGGCAGAUUAAACUGCUGAACCUUAAACAUAGACUGCACAAAACUUCAUCGUGAAAGGAGUAUUCCAUGACACUCAGCGGUUCACUCCAACAGAGGAAAUUGGUUCUUCAAGUUCAACACCAGACCAUGUUCCAACAAUGAAAAAAAGGAACUUUCACUUGGUGAGGUAGCAGCUGUUCACCUCAAUGCCUAACAAAAAUCCAAAAAGUGGAUAGCCCCUCAAAUGAGAAUGACGCAACAGACAUGACGGAAUCAACUGAAGACGCAUCAGAGGAGUUAAUGCAAAUAGUUGGUUCUAACUACAAACAUUGAACACUUUUGCUGAGCCUAAACAUUUUUUGCAUUAUGUACAUAAAAACCUACUUUGGUUAGCAUAUCAAGUUCACAUCUCAGAUUUUGGAAUAUGUAAAAGAUACUUUAGUUACCUAUAUAAUGUCUUAGACGUUUGUAAUUGCUAUAAUUAGACAUUUAAC